rnacentral:misc_RNA from 1 species
GUGAAUCAUCGAAUUUUUGAACGCAAAUUGCACUCUCUGGUAUGCCGGAGAGUAUUCCUGUGUGAGGGUCAGUUAAAUUAGAAUCGGUGUUAUUGCUAUGAUUGCUGUUGCAUGGGAAUUGAGUCGUCUUUACCUUUGGUUUUAAGUGACUUAAAAUUAUUUACGAUUUCUGAACGUAUUUAAAUUAUUUACUUACGCUCAUGAUAUCACAUAUUAGGUUCGGUCAUCCACACGAUUUCGCGCCUAUAAUUUUUCAUUAUUUGACCUCAAAUCAGGUAAGAAUACCCGCUGAACUUAAUCA